UGUUCAUGAUAUGAUAUUAGUUCGAAUUUCCUUCUGAACCAUGUGAGGCAGCACACAAUAGAAACAAUAAUCAUAUGAGCAGCCCGUAAUAAACUUCAUGUAUCUAGAAGUAUCCAGUUAGUUAAGCUGCAUAUGGUCAUGGACAUUGUAUAGUUGUAUUUAGGUACAUUUAUUUGUGCACUCUGCUUAGUCUUACCAUUGUGUACUGCUGCUUCUCUCUUUUUUUCCCUCUGGAUUAUUUUAAUAUGAAUAUUGAUUUUUUGUUAUUUGUUGUCCAAAAAUAUGCAUGGCACAUGUUGAACCUUUUUCCUCUCUAAUGACAGAUGCAAGGUGUGGUUAACUUUUCUGGCCGAAUAUCAAUACUCAUAGACCAGAACACGCAGGCUUUCCAUUUGUUCAUGAUUGCAAUGCUCCAGAUACUUCCUCUUCCUAUCUGAAGAGACCAAGAAGAAGUUACAAGAAGAAAUUGACGAGUUCUCAGACUCUUACUACUUGGAUCUCAAUCUUGAAGACAUCAAACAGAGUUUGAUGGAGCUAGAAGGAGGAGCUUGUCUUAAAGGGAAAAAUGAAAGAAUUUGAUGCUGGACCAGGAAGUUGUGAUGAUGGACAUGAAUUAAAAGUUAUGUUGAUUGUGUUAUUAUGUAGCUUGUGAAGCUUAUUUGUUAAAUUGUAAUGAACUUGAUGUUAGAUAAUUUUAACCUCCUGAGUGUGUUGCUUGAACAAUUGAACUUGAUGCAGCAGAAUUUGGUUCAGUUUUAAAUUAUGUGAAAACAGUCUUAAGUAU